rnacentral:sRNA from 1 species
CAUCUAACAUAUCAUAAAAGCGUUGUGCAUCUACGUUGGGUUCUUCAUUAAU